GGUAGGGUGGUCCAGUGGUUAAGGCCCCGGACUGGGACUCAGGAGAGCUGGGUUCCCAGCUCUGCUA
rnacentral:tRNA from 1 species